UCCAGGGGCUCGGGUCCGCCGGCCAGGCCUCCUGGAGCUGCCACCCAGAUCUGCCCACUGGAUCAGCCCUUUCGCUCCUGCCUGAGAGAGUGAUGCGUGAGUCCCCGGGAAUCUGGAGUCCUCUGCCCAAAAGACAGCUUGGUCCACAUUCCGCCCAUGCGGAGCAUUUUAGGGGCUCUUAGGUAAUGCUGAACGCAGGACAUACAGGCAGAGGUCUCAUUUCCAAAACUUGGCCCUGAGAUUACUGUCAGUGAAACAUAAAGGAGAAUUUGCUUACAAGGGAGGAGAUCAGUCACCUGAGGAGGAGGUGCCAAUCACCCCUGAGAAGCUUGGGGUCCUCUCUGAGAGGUGUGGCUGGAAGGUGAUGGAUAUAGCUGUGCAAGCUGGAGCCGGUCUGAAGAAAGGAAGGAAGCAUCAAAAGGACAGGACUUGGGGUACAAGCUUUACCCCCACCUCUCUGCUUCUGGUCCUGAGAAGGCAAGCCGCCUAGCUGGCGCAUGAGUCUGAUGAAGCUAGCCCCGGAGUUUUGAUGACCCCUCUUGUAAACAUCAACACCACAAGCCCCUCCAUGUAUGCUGAUCUGGGUCCCUACAAUGAGAUGGGAAACAUUCCCUACAAUAUAAAUGGAAAUACGGUCAAAGCUGUGGAUUACAUGUUUUAAGGUCCCCAAGAAUAUUUUAUUAACAGAUCUCAUGAGGAGAGCUCUUUUUCUGUGUCCCUCUGAAAGUCAUGGACUGCUUGGGCAGUGGAUGGUCCCAUGGCUUCGAAGAGAAAAAAGGCCAUCGGGAAGUGUCAGGUCCGUUCGGGCCCAGAGGAGUGGGGAGCACGACCAACGGCCUCGGCCACCAGGUGGCGUCCCUGGCCGGCCUUGGACGUGCAGCUCAGCCCAGGAAGCCAAAUGUCUGUGGUGCUUGCGCUCCUUCCUUCAGGCCCCAGACAAGCACAGAACACACACAGGCCAAUCCUUUCCCCAAGAGGACACCUGUCACCUGUGAGCACGAGUGCCCUACGAUCUCCACUGCCCUCCUCCCCUAACACCUGCCUCUGUCCCCAGCUCCCACCCAGAGGGGCGCCU